rnacentral:rRNA from 1 species
GGGGAUAACAUUUGGAAACAGAUGCUAAUACCGAAUAAAACUCAGUGUCGCAUGACACAAAGUUAAAAGGCGCUUUGGCGUCACCUAGAGAUGGAUCCGCGGUGCAUUAGUUAGUUGGUGGGGUAAAGGCCUACCAAGACAAUGAUGCAUAGCCGAGUUGAGAGACUGAUCGGC